rnacentral:rRNA from 1 species
UUAACACAUGCAAGUCGAACGUGAUUUUUAAGGAAAGCCCUUCGGGGUGGGAAUUAAAAUGAAAGUGGCGAACGGGUGAGUAACACGUGAGCAACCUACCUUACACAGGGGGAUAGCCGUUGGAAACGACGAUUAAUACCGUAUGAGACCACAGAAUCGCAUGAUAUAGGGGUCAAAGAUUUAUCGGUGUAAGAAGGGCUCGCGUCUGAUUAGCUAGUUGGAAGGGUAAAGGCCUACCAAGGCGACGAUCAGUAGCCGGUCUGAGAGGAUGAACGACCACAUUGGAACUGAGACACGGUCCAAACUCCUACGGGAGGCAGCAGUGGGGAAUAUUGCACAAUGGGGGGAACCCUGAUGCAGCGACGCCGCGUGAGCGAAGAAGGUUUUCGAAUCGUAGAGCUCUGUCCUAUGAGAAGAUAAUGACGGUAUCAUAGGAGGAAGCCCCGGCUAAAUACGUGCCAGCAGCCGCGGUAAUACGUAUGGGGCGAGCGUUGUCCGGAAUUAUUGGGCGUAAAGGGUACGUAGGCGGUUUUUUAAGUCAGGUGUGAAAGCGUGAGGCU